rnacentral:rRNA from 1 species
CGGGAAUAACGAUGACGAUCGUCUGACGGAGCAACGCCGCGUGAGUGAUGAAGGUUUUCUGAUCGUACAACUCUGUUGUUAGGGAAGAACAAGUACCGUUCGAAUAGGGCGGUACCUUGACGGUACCUAACCAGAAAGCCACGGCUAACUACGUGCCAUCAUCCGCGGUAAUACGUAGGUGGCAAGCGUUGUCCGGAAUUAUUGGGCGUAAAGCGCGCGCAGGCGGUUUCUUAAGUCUGAUGUGAAAGCCCCCGGCUCAACCGGGGAGGGUCAUUGGAAACUGGGGAACUUGAGUGCAGAAGAGGAGAGUGGAAUUCCACGUGUAGCGGUGAAAUGCGUAGAGAUGUGGAGGAACACCAAUGGCGAAGGCGACUCUCUGGUCUGUAACUGACGCUGAGGCGCGAAAGCGUGGGGAGCGAACAGGAUUAGAAACCCCGGUAGUCCACUGG